GUUUAAGUAAACCUGUACUUUUUUUCCUGACUGCCAAAGCAUCAUGUCAACAUUUGCAGUAGUCCUAUUAAUAGAAUCUCUCCUAAUAGGUGUUACUAAUGCUGAAGACAUCAUAUUCCCCAACAAUGAUACAGUAAUUGCUAAAGCAGAUGAAAAGGUUAUGCUAUCUUGUAGCUACACAGUCACAGUUUACGAUUUAUAUUGGUACCGUCAAAUCCCUGGAUCAGCUCCUCAGUUCCUCGUAAUGGAAUCGUCUGGCUUCUUAACACAUGCAACUCCUCAGGUUCCUGGGAUAACAAUGUUCAACAGAAAAGACACCAAACGAACGGAGCUGGAGGUCUUCCCUGCUGCAGUGGCAUAUUCUGCUCUAUACUACUGUGCUGUGAGGACCACAGUGAAAGGAAAUCCUCUGACUUCAUUCAAAAACAACAGCAAUCCUCAAUUGCAAAACAGAUAUAUUGAAAUAUUUCUCACCUUCUUUCUAUAG